rnacentral:tRNA from 1 species
GCCGCGGUGGUCUAGUGGCUAAGGUACUGGGCUACUGACCCGCAGGUCGCGGGUUCGAAUCCCGGCUGCGGCA